rnacentral:lncRNA from 1 species
GGUUGGGAAGGGAUGCAGAGUCAUAUGAGACCUGGAACUCUCCCUCAAGGAUUACUUUUUGGGGGAGAUGGAGAGUACCUGGCUGAAGGCAAGAAGAGGUGUAAUAAAGAAACAAUGCCCUUCUAAAGUGAAUCCUCCUGACUGCGAGAUCAAGAAAGGCUUCAUGGAAGAGGCAGCAUUUGAGACUUCAUUGAUGAGAGCCUCCCUGAGCACUGACAGUGACCAGCUACGACCAGCUACGGGGAGGGCACCUGUCCUCUCAGAGCUGUCUGAGGUGGAGACGCUUGGACAGAGGCCUGACAAGUGCGGGGGAGCCCUGCGGCUUUCUAGAGGAAGAGCUCAUCCAGGCAGAAGGAACAGAAAGCGCAAAGCCCUGAGUGGAAGUAAGCUUGGUGUGUCCCCAGGCCAAUGUGGUGGAGCAGUGGGAGCGAGGGGGGAACUGGAGGAGAUGACAGCAGAGAGCUAGUGGGAGGCCAGCUCGCUCGCAACACUCGCUUGCCCCCCAGGGUCCCUACUUCCUGGGAAGCUGGGCUUGCUUCUCACUUACGGGUGCUCCACCCCUGCCCCUUGGCAGUAGCUAAGGUUUAGCUUUUUCUAGUCUGUGAAGUGUGGUACCACUUAUUUUAUGACUUCCGUCUUCCAAAAUUCCAAGACACCUCUCAUCUGCUGGUGUGUCCUCUCCCCAGAGAGUUGCAGUUGCCAUCCUCCUGCUGCACAUCCCCCAGGGGACAAGCUCCAUGUCCGAAGCAGCAAUGGGUCAGUGAAUACUUGUGAGCCCACGUGGUGGGCUGAGGCAGCUGGCAGAGACUUCUCCAGGGAAAUGGGCUCGAGCUGAAUUUGAACAAGCAGGGAGGAGGUGAGGAUGCUGCCUUCCCAACAGCUGGGCCACGUCGUCCUCGUCACGCUCUGGUUUCCCAGCCCGGGCUAUUUUGGGUCAGGCUGCAGGAACCUGCUGCGGUGGUGUGGUGGGUGGUGAGUGGCAGGCUUGCCCACCCCCUCCAGCUGGCUGGGAACAAGGCCAGGCGGGUCCCAGCUCAGGCUGGGCGAGGGGUCACCACUCCCUGGAGGAGUGCCGGGAGGAGUCCUUGGAGCCAGGGAUAGUGGCGCCAGCAGGAAAUCAGGUGCCUGUUAACACAGGCUUGUGAAGCACUCGGUCAAGGGAGGGACAGGUGUCUAAGCAGAUGCCUGCCAGGCCGGAUGAAGCGUGCACAGUGCAAUGCGGCCAUAGGCAGAGUCUGGGACAGACCGGGGUCUGGGGACAGGCUUCAGUAAAAGCAAGCAGUUGACUGAGGCCUUACAGGCUGAGGAGUUUAUCAGGCUGAUUGGUGCUGGACAAAGGGCAAAAUGCAAGGAACAAGGCUCUGGGACUAUUUGGGGAGGCAGGAACCUCACCUAGAGAUGCCAAGUGGUGGGGCCUGGGGCCAGGAGGCUCCCACCAGGGCCAGCACGGGGGAAGCAGAUGCUUU